rnacentral:rRNA from 1 species
AAAGAUUAAGCCAUGCAUGUCUAAGUAUAAGCAACUAUACGGCGAAACUGCGAAUGGCUCAUUACACAAGUUAUCGUUUAUUUGAUAGCACCUUACUACUUGGAUACCCGUGGUAAUUCUAGAGCUAAUACAUGCUGAAGAUCCCGACUCCGGAAGGGAUGUGUUUAUUAGAUUAAAAGCCAAUGCCCCCUGGGCUCUCUGGUGAUUCAUGAUAACCUCUCGAAUCGCAUGGCCUUGCGCCGGCGAUGGUUCAUUCAAAUUUCUUCCCUAUCAACUUUCGAUGUUUGGGUAGUGGCCAAACAUGGUUGCAACGGGUAACGGAGGGUUAGGGCUCGACCCCGGAGAAGGAGCCUGAGAAACGGCUACUACAUCCAAGGAAGGCAGCAGGCGCGCAAAUUACCCAAUCCCGACGCGGGGAGGUAGUGACAAUAAAUACUGAUACAGGGCUCUUUUGGGUCUUGUAAUUGGAAUGAGUACAAUUUAAAUCCCUUAACGAGGAACAAUUGGAGGGCAAGUCUGGUGCCAGCAGCCGCGGUAAUUCCAGCUCCAAUAGCGUAUAUUAAAGUUGUUGUGGUUAAAAAGCUCGUAGUUGAACCUUGGGCCUGGCUGGCCGGUCCGCCUCACCGCGUGCACUGGUCCGGCCGGGCCUUUCCCCCUGCGGAACCCCAUGCCCUUCGCUGGGCGUGGCGGGGAAACAGGACUUUUACUUUGAAAAAAUUAGAGUGCUCCAGGCAGGCCUAUGCUCGAAUACAUUAGCAUGGAAUAAUGAAAUAGGACGCGCGGUUCUAUUUUGUUGGUUUCUAGGACCGCCGUAAUGAUUAAUAGGGACAGUCGGGGGCAUCAGUAUUCAGUUGUCAGAGGUGAAAUUCUUGGAUCUACUGAAGACUAACUACUGCGAAAGCAUUUGCCAAGGAUGUUUUCAUUAAUCAGGAACGAAAGUUAGGGGAUCGAAGACGAUCAGAUACCGUCGUAGUCUUAACCAUAAACUAUGCCGACUAGGGAUCGGACGAUGUUAUUCUUUGACUCGUUCGGCACCUUGCGAGAAAUCAAAGUGCUUGGGCUCCAGGGGGAGUAUGGUCGCAAGGCUGAAA